ensembl:lncRNA
GUGUGAUCACUGCACUCCUCUGAAUCCUCCACCUGAUGAAUGGAGCCCACAGAUCAGUCUGGUCCUGAGCUGAGACAGGAGGGGGACACACAGCUUGUCAGUGGCUGAACGUCUGUCCUCCUGUGUCCUCCGGCUGCUGCUCGUCUCUUCCUGCCUGCGGCUGUUAGUCAUAAAGUUUCCAUGUUGAUCUGUGAUCUGCAGCCAGCAGGUGGCAGCAGAGAGCCAUGAGACAGCCUGAGGGUGUGAGUCCUCUGUGCUGCUGACAGUCCUGAGAGCCGAAGCCAUCACACAGCGUCACAGCGGACUGCACCAACCAGAGACACACAAGAGACACAAAGGUCCAAGACACAAAACAGCUUCCAGGAGACAGACGCUGUCUGCAAAGAGGGACGACUGAGGACGACUAGGAAGAGACAAACAGAGCAACAAGUGUCUGCAGAGACACUGAAUAACUUCAUGUCCCCUUGUGAUGUCAUCAGAGGAUGCUGUCGUCCCCGUCAUGUGACCGCACGCUGUCUACCUGUGUCUACCCGAAGCAGGCAGAGGCUGCUGGCUGUCUGCCCAGAGUCUGUCUGUGUCUGUGUGUGUGUCUGUGUGUGUUCCUGCUUCCAUGGAAAACACGCCCACACAGGUUGAGGAAGGAAUAAAGAGCAGAAACACAGAGAGAGACGCACAGACGGACGAGCAGACGAAUGGACGGCGUGCAGACGGAGCGGAGACAAGAUGAACGGACCUCUGCCCACUACCCCUUCUGUUGUCGUUAACAACACCACGCAGUCUCUGAUGGCGUGUUUCCAUGACGACGAUGCCUUCAAGUACCGCGCCUACACCUUCACCUACCUGCUGGUGUUUCCUGUGGCGUUCCUGUGCAACAUGGCGGCGCUGGUGGUCUUCUUCCUGCAGAGCAGCCGCAGGUCUGAAGCUGCAAACACACAGACACACACACACAGACUCACACACCAAACCUCGUGCUAAACUGUCAGCAGUGUGUGGACAGCUGAGCUU